UCUGUCAGUGACCUAACUUCUGGGAGAAGUGUGUGUGAGACAGUAGGGAGUCUGAGGAAUGAUGGGAGUGUUCUGUUUGGCCAGAAAAGCCUAAAUCAGCUGAGCAGAAUUAGUGGCUGUGGGACAACCAGAUGCCAUUGCAUCUCCUCCGCCAUCAACUGCUUCGGCACAAAUUUCACCAACACUCU